AUUGCUUCUUGCCUCUCUCAUAUGACUCACUCAUACAGGGGCAAAAUGGUAACUUGAAUACUAGAUAUUUGUUUCCAAACACACUCCAAGAUUCUAGAACGAUCUGCCAUGUGAAACCACCACCAAAACUCCAGCAAUAGCUAUCUGAAAUCAAAUCAUCGCCUCCUCUGUUUCCCACCGAAGCUCUAUCAGAAAAACCCAGCAACUAAUUCAUCGUUGAUGCCGCCGUGAAUCACCACUGACCACCACCAAAAUUCAUCGUUGAAGGCUAAUGAGCCCAAGGUGUUCGGUGAUAUGCCUGAGACAACUAAAUUAUUUGGGUGAAUUUGGUACAGUAUAAGCAAAAUUCAAAAGUUAAUUAAGAAGACGAGGAACCAAAAUACCUACGUUGGCUACCCUUUGUUUUCCUCGCAUUACUGAGGUAACAACAUGUUGGUUUCAAGGGUGCUGGCAAAAGUGUUGCUUGUUCUCCGUCUGCCAAAGUUGAAUGGAAGAAAUUGUAUGGAAUCAGAGGAGAAUUUAGAGCACCAGUGCAAAUACUGGCCCUAAUCGAGAAAGAAUAACUAAGAAAAGCGGGGAACCAAAAAACAUGAAGGGUGGCCUUCUUUCCUUGCUAUCCAUAGGGGAAUCAAGACAAAUGCUAUGACAUCAGAUUACCACCAUUUUGCCCCUUAGCUUGAUGACAAUUCUGAAACUCUGGUAAUGCACAAACAACAAUGAGCUGCCUCUUAAUGAAUAAGUACUCCAACUCAAAGCUAUUUUCAUAUGAGAAUUCCAAUUUUUAAAGAUAUUGCAUCUUCUGUGAACAGAAAAAAUUACUACAUCGUACAAAUUCUUCUAUCACCUUGACCAUGAGGGAACUGUGGAACUACUAAACAUUUUGUAGGGUCUCCGCCAAUAGUUGUUCACUGUCUAGCAAUACUGGAAAUGGUUUCAGUUAAUUACUUUUUUGAGCUUCUGAAGUUAUGAAUGGUAUAUGUUACUUACGAGAUCGUUUCUUUCAAGGGAAAUGUGAUAUAGAUGCAGCUUUUCAAGAGUAAUAUGCCUUAUUGUGUCGAGGUAAUUUGGUUGGCAAAACCUUUCUAUUUUAUGCCUUUUAGGGUUAAUGGAGUCCAAAUGGAAUAACAAGAACUAUUGACGAAAAAAGAGAAUACUUUAGUUGUCCCAAAGGGAGUAUAUCGCUAUAAAAAGCAUUGGAGGCAUAUACGCCAGAUACUUUCUUGCUACAUCAGUUAAUUCUCUCUAUGAGAUCUUAUUAAAUGUAUUGUGAAGGGUUCUUAGAGACCAAAAUAGUUGUCAAAUCAGGAAAAACCAUGCAUAUGUCCUCUGAGAAAUUCUUUAUAGUUGGGAAAAUGUUAAUUUUUUUUUUCUUGGACCUUCACCUAUUCAAGUAAGUUUCUGAUUUUCUUACAAGGGAAAUAUACAGGAAGUCUGAUUCUCCUAGCCUAAUAGAUUAAUAUAAUUUGGUGAAAUCUUCUUCUCCUCAACUUGUGCAACAGCCCCUGUCUCAACUAGAAUAUAUUGAUGUAAGCAAAGAAUUGGAAGGUGGAAAAAGUAAGAAGGUUUGUUAUUCAGUGUUGAUGAAAGCAGUAGCUAAUUUUCAUCAGUUUACUUGUUUGUCUUAAAUAUUUACUCUAUUUGUUUUUUAGCAGAAUGGUCAAAGAAUGAAUCACAUCAAAUCUUGGUUGUUUACUUCAUGACGGCUAGAUUACAAUAAGCAACAUCAGCUAUAGUGCUCAAGACGUGAAAUUCCUUUCUGGUGAUGUGCUGUUUCAGCCUUUCAGUUGAACAACUCGGGACAAAAUAAUUCCUCAUGUACUGUCAUGGUUUACUGGUGAGGCUGCGGAAGAUGAUGAAUCUGAAGAUAUGGAAGAUGUUAUUAAAAAAGAUGGAGAUGAGGAUGAAGAGAAGUGACAGAAAGGUUGUACUAGCUUGGGGAAAAAAGAGAGGUUGAUUAAAUCUACUGCUAAGUUUUUCUAUAUGAUAAGAUUGUUAUAUUUUUAAGUAGCGUUCUAGCAAAGCAUACUUUUGAACAGUUUAUUUUAGACAUAGUUGCCGGCACAAUUUAUUCCCUGAAGCCCAUUAUCCAAAUGGAUAGAUCAUAUUGUAAAUUUUAUAACAGAAAAGGAAAAAAAUGUUUCCAUGUAGGGCA